AGAUUAGAUUUUUUUAUGUUAUACUGUCGAUUGUUUAACUAAAAGUUGUGCCUUCCUCUACUACCACUGUAACCUCAACAUCUAGUUAUGUUGAUGUAAUGUCUGAAAGAAUUGUUGAAAGAAAAGAGAAAAAAGAAAACAAAAUUUAUAUCAUUUCUCGGUAUAGUAUAAUAUAUACAAGAUGAAACUGAUUUGGAAAGUUUGACUAUCAAAUGAAAAAGUUCCAGAUUUCUGCUAAUAUCGUAGCAGGAGAGUUGAUAUUUUUCAUAAUCUGACUAUUUGAUAAUGUGUUUUAAUUGUUUGAAUAUGUGAUAAAAUAUCAUAAUAUUACUUAUGUAAAAUAUUAUCUAUUUUUUGAAAAUAAAGUCUAGUUACAGCAAGUGGUGUGACCUGCAAAAUAAGUACAGCAAGUAGUGUGACGUGCAAAACUGGUACUGCAACUAGUGUGUCUUAUUUGAUAUACAAUUUUUUAAUUUUUUCGAUAGACGAUUCUUUCAUUGACAACGAUUACUAUUUAGUUUUAUUAAUGAAUUUUCUUUAAUUAUUUACUGAAAGCCUUGACAAACUCAUUACAAUUUGUUUCUUAUAAUAUAUUUAUAUGAACAAUUUUUUUGGUUUGGAGGGUGUUUAAAUGCCGUCUACUCUUGGAGGGCGUUAAAACUCAAUUUAUUUGAUAAAGGGAAGAAGAGAAAGUACACACCUUUUCAUUGAAAAAUGAUUGGUUGGAUGCAUCUUGUAACGUGGUAACGUGUUUUUA